rnacentral:rRNA from 1 species
UACGAAGGGGGCGAGCGUUGUUCGGAAUUACUGGGCGUAAAGGGCGCGCAGGCGGUCCUUCAAGUCAGAUGUGAAAGCCCCGGGCUCAACCUGGGAACAGCAUUUGAGACUGGAGGACUUGAGGACGGGAGAGGAGAGUGGAAUUCCCAGUGUAGAGGUGAAAUGCGUAGAUAUCGGGAGGAACACCAGUGGCGAAGGCGACUUCCUGGCCUGUUCUUGACGCUGAGGCGCGAAAGCUAGGGUAGCAAACGGG